UGGGGAAUCUUCCGCAAUGGGCGAAAGCCUGACGGAGCAACGCCGCGUGAGUGAAGAAGGCCUUCGGGUUGUAAAGCUCUGUCUUUGGGGACGAAAAAAAUGACGGUACCCAAGGAGGAAGCCACGGCUAACUACGUGCCAGCAGCCGCGGUAAUACGUAGGUGGCAAGCGUUGUCCGGAAUUAUUGGGCGUAAAGGGCGCGUAGGCGGGGCCCUAAGUCAGUUGUGAAAACUCCAGGCUUAACUUGGAGAUUGCAUCUGAUACUGGGGUUCUUGAGUGCAGGAGAGGACAGUGGAAUUCCUAGUGUAGCGGUGAAAUGCGUAGAUAUUAGGAGGAACACCAGUGGCGAAGGCGGCUGUCUGGACUGUAACUGACGCUGAGGCGCGAAAGCGUGGGGAGCAAACAGG
rnacentral:rRNA from 1 species